UAGGGAAUCUUCGGCAAUGGGGGCAACCCUGACCGAGCAACGCCGCGUGAGUGAAGAAGGUUUUCGGAUCGUAAAGCCCUGUUGUAAGAGAAGAACGAGUGUGAGAGUGGAAAGUUCACACUGUGACGGUAACUUACCAGAAAGGGACGGCUGACUACGUGCCAGCAGCCGCGGUAAUACGUAGGUCCCGAGCGUUAUCCGGAUUUAUUGGGCGUAAAGCGAGCGCAGGCGGUUAGAUAAGUCUGAAGUUAAAGGCUGUGGCUUAACCAUAGUACGCUUUGGAAACUGUUUAACUUGAGUGCAGAAGGGGAGAGUGGAAUUCCAUGUGUAGCGGUGAAAUGCGUAGAUAUAUGGAGGAACACCGGUGGCGAAAGCGGCUCUCUGGUCUGUAACUGACGCUGAGGCUCGAAAGCGUGGGGAGCAAACAGGAUUAGAUACCCUGGUAGUCCACGCCGUNNCGAUGAGUGCUAGGUGUUGGGUCCUUUCCGGGACUCAGUGCCGCAGCUAACGCAUUAAGCACUCCGCCUGGGGAGUACGACCGCAAGGUUG
rnacentral:rRNA from 1 species